CCGUUGUGUUCUUCACGGCAAUAUAUCGGGUCGGUGGCCCAGAGGGUGGGGGCCACUGCACCACCCAGCCUGCGAUGACUCAGUCUAACACACCAUCAUCAGUGUGCUCUGCGCUGUUUUCCCAAUUCCGGAUAAUUUGGAUUUCAAUUUGAAGCAUACGAUGGAAAGACGCCUAUCUCCACCCUCUCUUUAUUUGCCUUUGAAAAAUGGAUAUUUUUACGCAAGUCAGAUCUCAUCUGGAGAAAGCUUCCAUCUCAGGUUACAGAGAGAAGUCUGACAGUUGAGAACAGGAG